rnacentral:rRNA from 1 species
AUUGAACGCUGGCGGCAGGCUUAACACAUGCAAGUCGAACGAGUGGCGGACGGGUGAAUAAUGUCUGGGAAACUGCCUGAUGAAGGGGGAUAACUACUGGAAACGGUAGCUAAUACCGCAUACCAUCGGAUGUGCCCAGAUGGGAUUAGCUAGGAGGUGGGGUAAAGGCUCACCGAGGCGACGAUACCUAGCUGGUCUGAGAGGAGGACGAGCCACACGGGAACUGAGAAACGGUAAAGACUCCUACGGGAGGCAGCAGGGGGGAAUAUGGCACAAGGGGCGCAAGCCUGAUGCAGCCAUGCCGCGUGUAUGAAGAAGGCUUUCGGGUUGUAAAGUAAUUUCAGCGGGGAGGCGUUACCCGCAGAAGAAGCACCGGCUAACUCCGUGCCAGCAGCCGCGGUAAUAC